rnacentral:rRNA from 1 species
UUAAGUAAGGAAGGGCGUACGGCGAAUGCCUUGCCACUCGAAACUGAAGAAGGACGCGCCAAACUGCGAAAAGCUCCGUGAAGCUGUAAGGAAGCGAAGAAGCGGAGGUGUCCGAAUGGGGGAACCCGGCAGCAGACAUGAGCUGUCAUCUGCAGGUGAAUACAUGGCCUGCAAGAGAGGUACCCGGCGAACUGAAACAUCUAAGUAGCCGGAGGAAAAGAAAACAACAGUGAUUCCCUGAGUAGCGGCGAGCGAAAGGGGAGAAGCCCAAACCGGUUGAAGGACCGGGGUUGAAGGACCAUGACAUGGCAAGAACGAGGAUAGGAGAACGGGAUCGAAAGCCCGGCCGAAGAAGGUGAAAGCCCUGUAACCGAAAUCCGAGUAAAGCCUAAUGGGAUCCUGAGUACGGCGAGACACGAGAAAUCUUGUCGGAAGCAGGCGGGACCAUCCGCCAAGGCUAAAUAUAAACGAGUGAGCGAUAGUGAACCAGUACCGUGAGGGAAAGGUGAAAAGAACCGCGGGAGCGGAGUGAAAGAGAACCUGAAACCGUAUGCCUACAAGAAGUCAGAGCCCGUUAAGGGGUGAUGGCGUGCCUUUUGUAGAAUGAACCGGCGAGUUGCGACAGACUGCGAGGUUAAGGAGGAAAGACCGGAGCCGAAGCGAAAGCGAGUCUUAAGAGGGCGAAAGUAGGAUGUUGCAGACCCGAAACCGGGUGAUCUAGCCAUGAGCAGGUUGAAGUUGAGGUGAAACUCAAUGGAGGACCGAACCGACUACCGUUGAAAAGUUAGCGGAUGACUUGUGGCUAGGGGAGAAAUUCCAAUCGAACCCGGAGAUAGCUGGUUCUCCCCGAAAUAGCUUUAGGGCUAGCGUCGGAAAGAACCUUAGUGAAGGUAGAGCACUGAAUGUGUGAUGGCCCCAUCCCGGGGUACUGAAUACAAUCAAACUGCGAAUGUCAUUAAGGAUGUCCGGCAGUCAGACUGUGAGUGAUAAGGUCCAUGGUCAAGAGGGAAACAGCCCAGACCGCCAGUUAAGGUCCCAAAAUACAGGCUAAGUGGAAAAGGAUGUGGGGAUGCCCAGACAACUAGGAGGUUGGCUCAGAAGCAGCCAUCCUUUAAAGAGUGCGUAACAGCUCACUAGUCGAGUGACCCUGCGCCGAAAAUGUACCGGGGCUAAGCCUGAUACCGAAACUGCGGAUUGUAGGAAACUAUAGUGGUAGGGGAGCGUUGUAUACGAGCAGAAGCCGUACCGUGAGGAGCGGUGGAUUGUAUAGAAGUGAGAAUGCCGGUGUGAGUAGCGAGAUGUAGGUGAGAAUCCUACACACCGAAAGCCCAAGGAUUCCAGGGGAAGGUUCGUCCGCCCUGGGUAAGUCGGGACCUAACGCGAGGCCGAAAGGCGUAGUGGAUGGAAAGCAGGCGAAAGAUUCCUGCACCCGUAUAUGGAGCGAAGGAGUGACGGAGACGGAUAGUGUGACCCUCUUAAUGGAUUGAGGGCGAAGCGAAGCGGCUGGUUACCAGGCAAAUCCGGUAACCAAAAGGCUAGAGCGUGACAGGUAAGCGAAAUCCAAGGAAAGUAGCGAAGCACAUGAUGACGGCUUCCAGGAAAAGCUUCUGGCAAUGCAUAUGCGGCCCGUACCAAAACCGACACAGGUGGGCAGGGAGAGAAUCCCGAGGUGAGCGAGAGAACUGUUGCCAAGGAACUCGGCAAAAUGACUCCGUAAGUUAGCGAGAAGGAGUGCUUAAGCAAUUAAGCCGCAGUGAAGAGGCCCAAGCGACUGUUUAACUAAAACACAGCUCUCUGCGAAGUCGCAAGACGAAGUAUAGGGGGUGACACCUGCCCGGUGCUGGAAGGUUAAGAGGAUCUGUUAAGAGCGAUCUGAAGCAGUGAUCCGAAGCCCCAGUGAACGGCGGCCGUAACUAUAACGGUCCUAAGGUAGCGAAAUUCCUUGUCAGGUAAG